AUUAUAUUCUCGAACUUUUUAGGUCUUUACCAAAGUUUAAUGGGUUGUAGAUUUUAGACACGUGGCGGACUCUGGGCCGCUCGAUAUUGUGACGCUCUCAUUGUUCUUCCAGAAGAGUUCUUGCGAGGGAAUCGAAUGUGAGUUUUCUAGCCCUUUCGCGUCUAGAUUUGCGCCAGGCGCGAAUGCUGCCGCUAGCAGCGGCAUCGUCAUCCAGCGAAUUUCGCAUGCGCGCCGCUCGCAUCGGUGGAUUCAGGGCACUCGAAUGCUACUGCCAGGGCGCGGGCUCGUCCAGGUCCAGGCAGGGCAAUGGCAAGCGCAGAUUUGGGGCUGGGAGUAGCAGCAGCGUCAAGAGAUCGCAAUCGAGUGAGAGGAAUGAGAGGAUUCUUGGAAAUCAGGGCUUUGCGGGAUUGGCGGCGCUACUCCAGCAGCGUGUGGUUGAACAACCGAAGAAUAACGCACGGCAAAAUCAAGAAUCUCCGCGGGAGAGCAAGGAAGUCGCCGUGGAGAAUGUUUUCACCAAAGCUUUCAAGGGUGAUCUCCCAGGCGAAGACGGAGGAGGAAACGAAGUUUUAACAGCCAUGAAGAAGAAGAAGAAAGUUGACAGUGUCGUGGCCAGCUUAAAUGCAGAAGAAACUUCAAAGAAGAGAUCUUCGAUUUCGUCUUCUUCUUCUUCUUCUUCUUCUUCGAUUGCUACUGCAACUUCUUCCGAUCAAUCAACGUUUUCAGAGGCAGUCUUGGCAGCGUUGCAGCAGUCGGCGCUCGAGCGUCAACUGCAAAAAAACAAACGACGGACCAUGACGAGGAAAAAUCGUCGCGGCAGUGAAGGAAGUGUCAAGAGCGAGGACCCUAAGAGCGUUAUCGACGGCGUCAUGAGACCGAUCGUCGUAAAGCCCGAGUGGGGAUCAAAGAUCGAAGACCUUGAACGGAAGCUGGAUCUCCUCAAGCAGCAGUAUUAUAAAAAGUUUUGAGGUUCUUACAUUUUAUUGUGUACGAAAACUCGCUUAUAGCGAGCGUUUGAGAGCCAUGAACUGGACGGUAAACUGGAGCAGGAUCUUCGCCUGAUCAACCUGUCCUUCCAUGUACUCGAAGCCAUGCGCUGCGUUCUUGAGGAACAAGAGCAGCACGUCUUUGUUAAGACUUUUCAAGAGGUUGAAGUACUCGAAUUGUCUGUC